rnacentral:rRNA from 1 species
GACGAACGCUGGCGGCGCGCCUAACACAUGCAAGUCGAGCGAGAACCAGGGCUUCGGCCCUGGGGACAGCGGCGAACGGGUGAGUAACACGUGGAUAACCUGCCCUCGGCACCGGAAUAGCCCGGGGAAACUCGGAUUAAUGCCGGAUGGCCCCACAUCCCUGCGGGGAACGUGGGAAAAGGUAGCUUCGGCCUCUGGCCGAGGAUGGGUCCGCGGUGGAUUAGCUUGUUGGCGGGGUAAUGGCCCACCAAGGCGACGAUCCAUAGCUGGUCUGAGAGGACGAUCAGCCACACUGGGACUGAGACACGGCCCAGACUCCUACGGGAGGCAGCAGUGGGGAAUCUUGCGCAAUGCGCGAAAGCGUGACGCAGCAACGCCGCGUGGGGGAAGACGGCCUUCGGGUUGUAAACCCCUUUCAGGAGGGACGAAGGUUCGCCGGUGAAUAGCCGUGCGGAUUGACGGUACCUCCACAAGAAGCUCCGGCUAACUACGUGCCAGCAGCCGCCGCAGUAACAC